GAUGAACGCUAGCGGCAGGCCUAAUACAUGCAAGUCGGACGGGAUUCAGGAGCUUGCUUCUGAUGAGAGUGGCGCACGGGUGCGUAACACGUAUGUAACCUACCUUUAUCAGGGGGAUAGCCUCUCGAAAGAGAGAUUAAGCCCGCAUAAAAUCACAGCACAGCAUUGUGUAAUGAUCAAAUAUUUAUAGGAUAAAGAUGGGCAUGCGGAACAUUAGCUAGAUGGCGGGGUAACGGCCCACCAUGGCGACGAUGUUUAGGGGAUCUGAGAGGAUGGCCCCCCACACUGGUGCUGAGACACGGACCAGACUCCUACGGGAGGCAGCAGUAAGGAAUAUUGGUCAAUGGGCGGAAGCCUGAACCAGCCAUGCCGCGUGCAGGAAGACGGCCCUACGGGUUGUAAACUGCUUUUAUACGGGAAUAAACCCAGAUACGUGUAUCUGGCUGAAUGUACUGUAAGAAUAAGGAUCGGCUAACCCCGUG
rnacentral:rRNA from 1 species